rnacentral:lncRNA from 10 species
AAUUAAAAAUGAUAGGCACCUUUAUCUUGCUUCCCACUUUAGAAGAAAACCAUUCUAAUAUUUUAUCUGUAAAAUUGUCAUUUGCUACUUAAUUUUGGUACAUAGCCCUUAUCAGUUUAAAAACUUCCCCAUCAGUUCCAGGGUGAUUACAGUUUUCACCACAAAGUGAUGCUAAAUAUUACCAAAUGCAAAUAUUUCUGUAUCCAUUGAGAUUUCAUAUACUUUUUUCUUUUUAUCUGUCUAUGUAGUAAAUUACAUUAAUAAAUUUUCUAGUAUUAUACCAUCCUUGCAUUCUUGAAGCAAACCUUACAUAGUUGUUAUGUACUAAUUUUUUAAUGUUAAAAUAUUAGAUUAUAUUUUAUUCAAAUAAAUUACAUUUUAUUUAUGACUUUUGAGUCUAUACUAAGUCAGGAAAGUGUAAUUUUUCUUUCUUUUGCCCUUUUCAUCCAAUUUUAGAAUCAAGUUUGUAACUGGCAUGCACAAGGUCUAACAAUAAAGUCCAAAAAUAUAGUGGCACAAACAACAUACAGGCAAUGAGUAGGCAUCUGGGCUUCAUAAGAGUAUCCAAUAAAACAAGGCUCUUUCUUCUAUUUUGUUGCUUAACCAUUUUCUAAAUUUUGUCAUUAUCUAAAAGAAAAAACUGGUUCACCCAUACCAAGCCUACACAUUUCAGCCCAUGAGGAUGGAGAAAAAGAAGAAAUUGAUGACAGAUUCUAUCAUCACAAAAGGAUGUGAUUUGGAAGUUGCAUGCAUCCAUUCAGAGCUUCUUGGCCAAAACAGUCAUAUUAACAAAACUAGCUGCCAACAUACUACAAAAUGAGCUAAGAGAGAAUUGUCCUGCCUGAUGGGCUUCAAACCACCAGAACAUCAGUUCUUCCUGGUUCUGCAGUAGUCUCCAACCUUCAGACUCAAACUUCAGCACCUGUUCUUCAGAUUUUGGACUUGCAGCCUCUAUAAUCACAUGAGCCAAUUCCUUAUAUAAAUUUAUUUAUACAUGCUGACAGUUGGUUCUGUUUCUCUGGAUAACCCUGACUGUUAGAGCUGUUACCUCAAAUUUGUUUUCUUAUAUUUGGUGUCUGUUUUGGAGUACUUACAAGUGCUUAAAAUGUUCUUUUUCAAUUAGGUCCUGUAGAACAUAGCUGCGCCUGGAAUUGAAUGAUCGUGUUUUCCGUGCAGAGCUAUCUGCCUUUGGACAGGAGGAGAACUCUCAGCACCAUUCCCUUUCCACGGGAGCUUCUUUUUUCUCAUUCUUUUUCUUGCCUCCCUCAACUCCCAUCCUCUGUUCUGGGAGAAGGUGAAGCUGGCCUGACAGGCCUGAGGGAAGCCGGACGGAGGCACACUUGCCAGCUUUUAGUUGAGGGAGGCACCGCAGCAAGGCUCUCCAGUCCCUCCUUCCCUGGGAGCACCAGCUCUGAUUCUAGUGGGCAGCUGCAGCUAAGACGAAGACAAAUGAAUCCAGAGACUUCUCUCGAGCUAUGAGCCUGAGCCAAAGGCACAGCCCAGCUGUCCAGAGAGCUUUGUGACAGAACAUGGGGGGCCAGCUGACAGGAACCGAGGCACUUUUAAAUUUAGCACUUGUCCUCGCCCUUUCGGUUCACGAUUUCUUGGAAGUUUCAUUUGGAAAAAGAGGUCUCAGAGAGAAUGAACUAAAAGAAAAACAAUAAAGGAAAAUCAGUAGACGAUGGAGAGCAUCUUGAUGACCUAUUGGGAAUGUACAUGGUGUGUGAAGAGAGGGGAUUAUUAUUAUGUGCAAGAUAUGGAAAAAUGUGGCUGGGAAAUAAAAGAGAGUAAAGACCAAAAGAUGGGAAGAACAAAAAUGUCAC